GUUGAAUCUUUUGGUGGAUUCGAUGAUGGGAGGGAGAUUUUGGCCGUCGGAGGUUGGCAGCACUCCGACUCCGAUUCGUCGCCGCAGGCUAGCGACUAUAAACAUUUCCGGCGUGAAUAUGAAUCUGUUGCUUGGACGGCGUCGUUUGUAGCAAACUCCGAAUUUGACCUGCCUGCAAGGUUGAUUGAGUCACUUUAGAUACAUGUCAAGGAGUUUCACGUGAGAAUAUAUUAUUUUUAGUUUAAUUGGCUAAGGCCAUCAUUUCUCUCUAGCAUAUUUAGACCAAGAUGUGAUCUCAUCCUUUGCUUCAUUUCAAGAUGUGUGAUAUUUGUUACUUCCACUUAUACUUACGUUUCAUUAUGUUCUUGUAAGACACAUUUGUAAGGAAAUGAUUCUUACUUAGUUAUUGUAUCUGUACUAUCUCUGAUUUUCUCCCU